rnacentral:rRNA from 1 species
UACGGAGGGUGCAAACGUUGCUCGGAAUCAUUGGGCGUAAAGCGCACGUAGGCGGAUUGUUAAGUCGGGGGUGAAAUCCCGGAGCUCAACUCCAGAACUGCCUUCGAUACUGGCGAUCUCGAGUUCGGGAGAGGUGAGUGGAACUGCGAGUGUAGAGGUGAAAUUCGUAGAUAUUCGCAAGAACACCAGUGGCGAAGGCGGCUCACUGGCCCGAUACUGACGCUGAGGUGCGAAAGCGUGGGGAGCAAACAGG